rnacentral:lncRNA from 1 species
CAUUAGAAGCUAUACUCAUGCAUUCCAUCCCUCAUGCAAAUUUAUUAAGAAGCUUUGUGAGGCUUUGGAUUUUAUACUGUUUCUUCUUUCCUUAGGUCACAGGCAACCCUCACUGUCAAGAUCAUGGCAGAGCAGUAACCUAUGUGGAUGGCAACCAGUUCCAUUUAUUUUUCUUUUUGAGCCUUGAGAGGUACCUGGUCCACAAACUGAUAUAUCACCUUCAAAUCAAGACGAUGUUCUCAAUAUGCACCCAGGAGAGGAAGAAGAGGUUAACAUGCUAAAGUCCCAAGCAUGGAAGUAGAUACUGGAGGCAUCUGCCUUCCUUUUUUUCCAUUUCCAUGGCAAGCUGUUUCAAGGUGCUUCAUGAAAAGCUUCUCAAAACCAAUGUGUUCUAAAAGCCACAAGUUUGAUGACUGAUAAAAGAGUCACGAGAGAGAGUUUUUGCAUCUCUUCUUUAAUAGAGAUCUUGAAAAGCCAAAUGACUGAGAAAGAG